AUUACAGCUAAUACAUGCAAUCAGACCUGGUCCAAGGGUCGUAAUUAUUAGUACUAAACCAUUUCCGUCAGGAAUGUGAUGAUUCAUAGUAAUCGAACGAAUCGCAGGUAUAUGCGAUAAGUCAUUCAAGUUUCUGCCCUAUCAGCUUUGGAUGGUAGUGUAUUGGACUACCAUGGCAGUCACGGGUAACGGAGAAUUAGGGUUCGAUUCCGGAGAGGGAGCCUGAGAAACGGCUACCACAUCUACGGAAGGCAGCAGGCGCGCAAAUUGCCCAAUCCUGACACGGGGAGGCAGUGACAAGAAUAACAACUCUAGGAUUUCUUAGAAGUGUAAUGAGGAUAAUUUACAAACCUUACCGAAUGCAAUUGGAGGGCAAGUCUGGUGCCAGCAGCCGCGGUAAUUCCAGCUCCAAUAG
rnacentral:rRNA from 1 species